rnacentral:misc_RNA from 1 species
UCUCCGUUGGUGAACCAGCGGAGGGAUCAUUACAGAGUUGCAAAACUCCCAAACCUUUCUGAACGUUACCUAUCCCGUUGCUUCGGCGGGCGGCCCGGGCCCCGCGCCCGCCGCCCCCCGGCCCCCCGUGGGCGCCCGCCGGAGGUAAACCAAAACCGUGAAAUGCAUGGCCUCUCUGAGUGUUAAGUCCAGAAUAAGUCAAAACUUUCAACAACGGAUCUCUUGGUUCUG